rnacentral:rRNA from 1 species
GGGGGACUACGGUCGCAAGACUAAAACUCAAAGGAAUUGACGGGGACCCGCACAAGCGGUGGAGCAUGUGGUUUAAUUCGAUGCAACGCGAAAAACCUUACCACUCCUUGACAUGGAGAUUAGAUCCUUCUUAACGGAAGGGCGCAGUUCGGCUGGAUCUCGCACAGGUGCUGCAUGGCUGUCGUCAGCUCGUGUCGUGAGAUGUUGGGUUAAGUCCCGCAACGAGCGUAACCCUCAUCCUUAGUUGCCAGCGGGUUAUGCCGGGCACUUUAAGGAAACUGCCAGUGGUAAACUGGAGGAAGGUGGGGAUGAUGUCAAGUCAGCACGGCCCUUAUGGGGUGGGCUACACACGUGCUACAA